GUCCCUGCCCUUUGUACACACCGCCCGUCGCUACUACCGAUUGAACGGUCGCAUUGAGGUCUUCGGAGUGGACGCGCGUUAUUUGGCCCCCUCGGGGGCUGGGUCGUGGCGCGAUCGCAAAGAUGACCGAAAUCGGCCGUUUAGAGGAAGUAAAAGUCGAACAAGGUUUCCGUAGGUGAACCUGUGGAAGGAUCAUUA
rnacentral:ncRNA from 1 species